UUUUCCUUUUUCUUUGUUUAUAUAUAUAUAUAUAUUCUUUUUUUUUUUGGUUCCCUCGAGAGAACUAUCUUGACUUUCAGACAACAUUUCGCGUGUCACAUUUCUUAUUUUGUUUUAUUACUCGUGUCUACACAAAUUUUUAUAAUAUUCAUUCUAUAGAAAACUAUUGAAUCUCGGUAUUAACCGAAUCGUAUAAAUAACUUGUCGUGAGAUGCACAAAUAUAUUGCUUAUAGAUAUAUAACUUCGUACAUUUUGUUUGUGCGUGUGUGUGCGCCAUCAACGAUUACAAAUUUUCUCACUUUUGUAUCUUUGUAAAAGAUAGUCAUUUCAAAAACCGGAACGUCCUUCGUCGGCUACUUUUUUUAUUUUUCUCCUUUCUGUUUCCCUCUCAAUCGGAAAAUAGGUCGAGGAAAAUGCGACGAGCCGCUCACAAAAAGGGAGUGAAAAUUUCACUCGAGUUAAUGGAGAUAACAGGGAUUACGUCGAACUUUUGGGUUAUCAAAGUCGAGACAGAGAAAGAAAGAGAGAGAGAGAGAGAGAGAGAGAGAGAGAGAGAGAGAGAGAGAGAGAGAGAGAGAGAGAGAGAGAGAGAGAGAGAGAGAGAGAUGGUUGUGAAAGAUAGACGGACUUGAACGUUUGCUAAUUCCCUCGAAGCAAGUAUCUGGCACUGACUUGAUAUUAUUAAUGGACGAUAUGUAGACAUAACAAUAGACUUCUCAACUAGCCGGUGUGAAACGUGGAGUCAUUAACUCUAAUGAACCUGUUUUUAGUCCCCAACGUUACCGUCUAUUUUUAUAUUUGGCAUUUGCAUACAUGUUGAUCGAUCGAAACACUUUAAGAAAUUGUUCUUUUCGACAUAAUUGAAUUUCGUAUAUAACUGCAUACCUACAUAUCGAAAAUACCUACAUGUUCAUUAAAUUAAUUCAAUUUUAAUUAAUUCGAUAAUAAUCGAGAUACGAAAUUUUGUUGAGACAUUAUCCUUCAUUAUCGGGAACAUUGAGAUACCUGUUAGUAAUUAUAAAAUUAAUCCUAUUGCUAAUUAAUUCUCCCCCAGGCAAACUGUUGUGAUUUGAAAUGUGCUCGGAAGGUUAUACCAAAUUUCUACGACAUGCCGUCAGUCGCACUGGCCUAGUUCGUGUAUCGUACCCGUCUCAGUUGACGUCACAUCAUGCCAAAGCAACAUCGAGCCCCAGGUACUUCUCUCUCCGUCUUCGUAUUCGUGCUCGCAAUGCGAGUUAACCGCGUUGAACUUGAGAAAGGAAUACCGCAUUACGUGCGAAUUCGAUAGCCUGCGCACCGUCUUCGCCAUCUGUUACUCUUUCCCUCUUUCUUUUUACACCCCUCUUUUGACAAUUAUCGAAUUACACAGUUAACACAAUAAAAUUACGAACAAGUUGUUUACCGAAUAACAUUUCUUUAAAAUCUCUCCUUUCUAAGACUUUUUCUUUAUAGUCAAAAAAGAUCGGUGCUCUCCUAGCAAGCUUUUUUUUAUUCCCGUUGACUUGUGACGUAGGUGUAGAGGAUGAGAAACGAGGGAAAAGGAGAGAGAGAGAGAGAGAGCUUUGACGUUUACAUGCAGUACGAUGAAAUAUCGGGCGAAAGAUCGCGUCAAAAUCCGAUAUCAAUGAACUGAAAGUUCGCUUGGUAAAAAAAAAAAUCGGUAGCCACUUUGUCGCUACUGCAAGGGUCUCUCUUAUUUGAAACAGUGGAAUAUUGAAAAUCGAGUAUUGCGAAGGGUUGGCCUUAUCGUUUUAACGAAACGUUAAAAAUGAAGACAUCUAAAGUAUUAAAGACUUAUUGAUCGAUAACCGAUAGAUGAGAAAUUAUUAGAUGCCGUUGAGAAUAUGAAGAUAAUGAACUUUCCAAAAUUUAUUUUCGUGUAACCUCGAAGUAAAGACGUUCAAGGGAUACUGUCGAUUGCAUUGGAAUAAGUUACGUGUCUUCCGAGAAAGGUUUAAUUCAUUGAGCAUGCAUUUUCAUGAAAUACAUUUCAUACAGCAUAUGCGAGGGAUCGAUACUAUCGAUUUACUUUGGUUGAAGAACAUGAACAUGCUCGGUGCAUAUCAGUAUAAGAACAUCAGCCGACAUGUAUCUCGGUAAUAUCCACGUUCUCUCGAAGUGUACGACCUCGCCCCAUCGUUGAGUAGUUAUAUACGUAUAAAUGGCGUGCGACAUCUAGGCCAGUCUACGUCAGUAAACUUGUACAAGACAAAGGGUAUAUGUACAGAUAUCAAUAAUACAUAUUAUAAAAGGUUUCAAUUUUAAAUAAUCGCAUCUUCUAAUCUUUCUUCAUUAAUAAUGAGAAAGUCAUUAUGAUUAUUUAUGCAUUACUAAUAUCCUUUAUAUACUUUUUUCGGAUCGAUAAUAUCAAACGUGUAAGUAUAUAUUAAAUAAUUAACGACAGUUAAAAAUAAUGAAGAUCAAAAGAAUAUGUCGGACGAUCGGCUCCAACGUGUUAACACGGUUGCGGUCGAAAGGGAAAUGAGACGAGCCUCUCCCCUCGUCGGUGUCUAAUACGGCGCGCGUGCGCACUCGCCUCUCAUCUCCCUCUCUUCGAUGUUUACGACGCGUUAAACGAAAUGCGCACGCGUCAGUUCAGCGCUAGUUGCAUACGUGGGGGUUUACUACGUUUGAUAGCCGAAUCCAGGUCUCAAAACGAUGAUUAGAUUAUACUAACGUUAGAAGAUCUUUUCAAUUGAAACUCGAUCAUUGAAAUUAGAUCUUACGUCGAGAUUAUAUUACACGUUACUAUUGCUAUCUCGUUCAUCAGAACAAAAUUUUACGCGAUCGAUCCUCGUUGUUUUUAUUAUGAAUAUAUGACAUUCUUGCCGAGAUAUAAUUUAAAGUAUUUCGUCAUACGAAAGGUAUAAUAAUCAUACGAUUCUGUCAAUUACGUUUUUUGUAUUGCAAUCGUGAACGAUGCUCGUAAACAUUUAGCGUUUUAGCCAACAUAAACUCGGUCUGCGGAAAUUUGAGAUAAUAUCGUAUUUGCGUCGCAUAGUGCGUCGAAUCUGGAUCGAACGAUAACUCGUAAAUUAAGUCUAUUAUCUAAAGUUUAUGAGAAGAUAUAAAUCUAACCGGUAUAAUGCAAAAAUUAGUACCGAUAAAAUGCAACGGGCUAUUGCAGUAACCGACGACAAGAAUCGUCAACAGCCAAUCGAAAAGCUCGUAGACUCGGGACUCUGCGAAUGUUCCAACUUUAGAUUCGGACGAUGUGGGAUCGAGUGAGUAGAGAGAGGGAGAGAGAGAGAGAGAGAGAGAGAGAGAGAGAGAGAGAGAAAGAGAAAGAGAGAGAGAGAGAGAGAGUGAGAGAGAGUGAGAGAGAGAGAGAGAGAGAGAGAGAGGGGUGCAUUCAAUGUUAACGAGUUACAUUUGUUUAUCUGCUAGCACAUUUAGCUGCCUGUGAGAGUGGAAACAGUGUGUAGGCAUGUAAACGUGGCAAAGAUAUAAAUGUAUAUCUAUACAGUACGAAGGUGGUUGAUUCGAAUCAUACCUGUCUCCCUUGCAAAGACCAGAAUCUUCAACGGCCCAAUCGACAUAAAGGCCAGGCAUCUCGUCUCUUGGUCCAGCACCGAAACGAGGACUCUUUGGAUCGGCACUGACUUCGACAGCAUGUACGGUGACUUGCGUUGACCCGGAAAUACAGCUAAGAUGAUAGAUUUGUAAUAAGCAUGACAAAUAAAACUCGAAGUGGUCUAAA